AUUGAACGCUGGCGGCAGGCCUAACACAUGCAAGUCGAGCGGAUGAGGGGAGCUUGCUCCCUGAUUUAGCGGCGGACGGGUGAGUAAUGCCUAGGAAUCUGCCUGGUAGUGGGGGAUAACGUUCCGAAAGGAACGCUAAUACCGCAUACGUCCUACGGGAGAAAGCAGGGGACCUUCGGGCCUUGCGCUAUCAGAUGAGCCUAGGUCGGAUUAGCUAGUUGGUGGGGUAAUGGCUCACCAAGGCGACGAUCCGUAACUGGUCUGAGAGGAUGAUCAGUCACACUGGAACUGAGACACGGUCCAGACUCCUACGGGAGGCAGCAGUGGGGAAUAUUGGACAAUGGGCGAAAGCCUGAUCCAGCCAUGCCGCGUGUGUGAAGAAGGUCUUCGGAUUGUAAAGCACUUUAAGUUGGGAGGAAGGGCUGCUGGUUAAUACCCUGCAGUUUUGACGUUACCAACAGAAUAAGCACCGGCUAACUUCGUG
rnacentral:rRNA from 1 species